AUUGAACGCUGGCGGCAGGCCUAACACAUGCAAGUCGAACGGUAGCACAGAGAGCUUGCUCUCGGGUGACGAGUGGCGGACGGGUGAGUAACGUCUGGGAAACUGCCCGAUGGAGGGGGAUAACUACUGGAAACGGUAGCUAAUACCGCAUAACGUCGCAAGACCAAAGUGGGGGACCUUCGGGCCUCACACCAUCGGAUGUGCCCAGAUGGGAUUAGCUAGUAGGUGGGGUAAUGGCUCACCUAGGGGACGAUCCCUAGCUGGUCUGAGAGGAUGACCAGCCACACGGGAACAGAGACACGGUCCAGACUCCUACGGGAGGCAGCAGUGGGGAAUAUUGCACAAUGGGCGCAAGCCUGAUGCAGCCAUGCCGCGUGUAUGAAGAAGGCCUUCGGGUUGUAAAGUACCUUUAGCGGGGAGGAAGGCGGUGAAGUUAAUAGCUUCACCGAUUGACGUUACCCGCAGAAGAAGCACCGGCUAACUCCGUGCCAGCCGCCGCCGCGG
rnacentral:rRNA from 1 species